rnacentral:rRNA from 1 species
CACACCGCCCGUCACACCAUGGGAGUCAGUUGCUCUAGAAGUCGGUGCGCCAACCUCGGAGGCAACCGCCUAAAGAGUGACUGGUGACUGGGGUG